ACAUCAGAACACAUGAAUAGUAUGCAACAGGGUCUCAGGAGCUGCAGGUUAAUGUUCCUGCAUCUUUUACUGGUGCUUUCCUUUGAUCCUCUAGAGGGGCCCUGGCUGCUUCAUUGUCAGUGAAGAAAAACUGAAAACAUCGCCCGUGCAAGUUGUCAAGCCCUGGGUUUACCUCACAAAGUCCCCAAGUGGAGCUACUUACAGACAAGAUGUGGCAUGUUUCAGUUAUCCCUUAGUUCCCAGCCCAUCUUCAUAAGAAGAUGAGAACACUGCAUGUAAUCUAACAAGAGUCGAGAACAGCCAUCUUGCCUUGCCGUUUGUCUCAGGAGAGCACUGUGUCAUCCACCAGUGAGUAUCAUCUUAGACACAGAGUUUCCAAGCUCCCUCCACACUGAGAACUUCAAUCAAGAUGAGGACUCACUUGCAAAAAGCUUUUCUCCAUCUACUGAGUUGAUUGAAUGUUUUCUGUCUUCUCUUCUACAGAACUGACCCACAAAAUGAUGAUGAAUCAGCCAUGUAUCAUAGAGGUGAUUUUUUUGGUCUGGUCACAGUUACCAUUGAUUUCUUUCAUUAUUUUACUCUUUCCUAUUUUUUUUAUUUUCACACUAAUUAAUUCCUUACUUCUAUCUGCUUUUGAAUCAUUUCUGUCCUGAAUUCUAAGGCACAAAUUAAGGUUAUUGUUUUUGUAUUUUAUCACUUUAUAACAUAAAUAUUAUAAUUGUGUGAUGGUGGCAGUGAAAUAAUCUUAGUCUAAAAUAAUAUAAAUUUGUUUUCAUCCAAGAUUAAACCUUUUUUUCAAUCUGUCCUUGAAUUAAAAACAUGAUGUAUAUUUUGAUUAAUGUGCUUUUGAUAGAGUAUUGAAACUGUUUAUCCUUUCUUUGUAUGACAUAAAUUUCUGGACUUAACAAUGGCAUUUUGGUGUAAUAUAAUUUCGUCAGAAAGUUAGAAAAAAAGUUUCCUUGAAGGUGGCAAUGACUUUUAAUUAUACUUCCUUGAACAUAGCUAUCAUGUGGCUACUUUACGGUACAAGGGAAACUAGGCUGUAAACCUAAUUGGCUUCGGUGUGUUCCUUACUAUGAACUCUGUCAAGUGGGAAGCUUGUAUUUCAUGGUUUUAGAGUGAAAGCCAUGGUAAUGAAGCCUCUAAAAUGUGCCUUCCUGAAGCCUUACCUACAAGAGUCUUCAUUUUAACACCGUUAACUUUUUGCUCCAGGGGCUACUAAACAUUAAUUUUUCUGGGGCUUAAGGUCAUAUAUGCAGAGGAGAGAGGGAGAAUGCUAAUUAACUGUGAACUGUGCAUUCCGUGGUUGAAAUGCAUGGGAUUUGCAGUCUUGGCCUUGGCCUAGCACUGUGUCAGUGGUUAGCCCCUGAGCUUCUCUGAGUCUUCCAAGUCCUCAUUGCAUCGUCUGUGCAUAGUGUACACUCUUUCUCCUAGACUGUAGAAGACUAAGUGACUGUGGAGCACUUUGCCCAGAAUCAGCCUCCAGCUCCUGGUCACCAAAUGUUGGGUUCCUCUGCUCAGAGGCCAUUUCUAGAAAACCCACUCCAGCGUGAAAUGUAAUGUUACCCUCCCCACAAUAUUGUUUCUGUUGUUAU